rnacentral:lncRNA from 1 species
UGUGUUAGCAGGCAUGAAAGCAACAUUAAUCUUUUUGUACAUGUCCAUCAGAGCUCUUGGGUGACCAGGUAUAUUGCCAGUGAGCAGUAAUACUUUGAAAGGAAUUAUUUUUCUUAGCAGUAGGUCUCAGCACUUUUAAUUUGCUUCAAGAUAUAUUUCUUUGCAUUCACAACUUGGCUGACUGGUGCAAGAGGCCUAGCUUUCAGACUAUCUUGGCUUUUGACAGGAGGCUGAGGCAGGAGAAUCUCUUGAACCCGGGAAGGGGAGGUUACAGUGAGCCAAGAUUGUGCCACUGCACUCCAGCCUGGGCAACAGAGUGAGACUGUCUCACAAAAAAAAAAAAA